GACGAACGCUGGCGGCGUGCUUAACACAUGCAAGUCGAACGAAGAGCGAUGGAAGCUUGCUUCUAUCAAUCUUAGUGGCGAACGGGUGAGUAACGCGUAAUCAACCUGCCCUUCAGAGGGGGACAACAGUUGGAAACGACUGCUAAUACCGCAUACGAUCCAAUCUCGGCAUCGGGACGGGAUGAAAGGUGGCCUCUAUUUAUAAGCUAUCACUGAAGGAGGGGAUUGCGUCUGAUUAGCUAGUUGGAGGGGUAACGGCCCACCAAGGCGAUGAUCAGUAGCCGGUCUGAGAGGAUGAACGGCCACAUUGGGACUGAGACACGGCCCAGCCUCCUACGGGAGGCAGCAGUGGGGAAUCUUCCGCAAUGGACGAGAGACUGACGGAGCAACGCCGCGGGAGUGAUGACGGCCGUCGGGUUGUAAAGCUCUGUUAAUCGGGACGAAUGGUUCUUGUGCGAAUAGUGCGAGGAUUUGACGGUACCGGAAUAGAAAGCCACGGCUAACUACGUG
rnacentral:rRNA from 1 species